UUCCUUUUUAUGAAAAGAAAGGUCUUUGCAAAAGAAAAAAACUACUUUAUUUGGAGAGCCCUGGCCAGCUUCUAGGGCUCCUAAAUCCAAGAGUUCAGUGAGCUGGCACAGGGAAAGGGAAAUAAAGACAGCAUUGGCAAUGAUUCUAUGGCUUCGGCUAGACUGGUUACGUGGAGAGAAGACAGUACAGCAAAACCCUCUCUUCCUUGGCACCUGGGAAGGAAGAAACAGCACUAUCUUCUGCAAUUAUUCAAGCUCUGCUACAGACAGACUGCUCUGGUACAGACAAGUUGUGGGGGAAAGCCUCGAGUUUCUGUUUGCCUUGCUGUCAAAUGGAGCGGUGAAGAGGGAUAGAAGACUGACAGCCUCACUUGAUCAGAAAGCUCGCAUCAGCACCCUGCACUUCUCGGGACUCCAGCACAGCCACUCUGCCAUCUACUUCUGUGCUGUGGGGACACAGUGCUCUCCUGACGUUGUUGGUCUAUACUCAAACCUGCAUCUAGCACUCCAGGCUUCCUUAAAGCUCAGACUGUGUUUGUAGGGCUUAGCUCUCUGUUAUCAUUCAAUACGGAAACUCUUGAAACAAAUGGGAAAAAAAAGAUAGCAUUUAACAUUUAUUUCCUUUAGGAAGGAAAAUCCUAAACAUGUCUUUCCUGAAAUUACAAAGUCUGUUCUCUCUGGCUUCACAUUCAGCCUUCCAUCACAAAUGAGUUUACCUUUAUGCACUACCACAAAUAAUUCCCAUGAAAUAUGAAGUCAUUGUUUGCUUUAAUAUGAAUGUAACAUUUAACACUUACCAGUGGAAGAAAGGGGAGUACAUAAUUUAUGAGACUAUUCUAUAAUCAGCUUCUUACCUACUGUUCCCCAAUAAAACACUGAGUGCUGUAGUCAAGUAAA
rnacentral:sRNA from 1 species